UACAGAGGGCUCAAGCGUUGUUCGGAUUCAUUGGGCGUAAAGGGUGCGUAGGCGGCGAGGCAAGUCAGAUGUGAAAUCCCGGGGCUCAACCCCGGAACUGCAUUUGAAACUGCCUUGCUCGAGUACUGGAGAGGAGACUGGAAUUUACGGUGUAGCAGUGAAAUGCGUAGAUAUCGUAAGGAAGACCAGUGGCGAAGGCGAGUCUCUGGACAGUUACUGACACUGAGGCACGAAGGCCAGGGGAGCAAACGGG
rnacentral:rRNA from 1 species